UCUGAUGAGGAGCAUUGCCUUGAAUCUCAAAAAACUGUUGAGAAAGUUGUUUCUUGUCCAAUCAAUAAAGAUGAAUGGAAUACAAGGGCAAUAUUGAAGAACUGCUCAGCCAUUCAGCACAGCUGCCUCAGUCAACCUCAGUAUCACUGUGUGAUGAACGAAUGGCAGAACAAGAGUCUGGAAGUGUGUGCACCAGUUGCAAAGAUUCCGGCAGGUCACUGUGCAGAGUAUAAUACAUUGGGACGCAAAAUACAGGAAUAUUAUCAAGCAACCUGUAAAUUUUGUAAAACGGACUAUCUGUCAACUAGUGCCUACAAAUAUACUGAAUGCUAUGGAAUAAUUAAUAAAAACAGGUACA